rfam:Trichobilharzia regenti genome assembly, scaffold: TRE_scaffold0044327
ACCCAGCUGACGAGUCCCAAAUAGGACGAAAUGCGCAUCCUGGAU